rnacentral:rRNA from 1 species
UAAAAAGCGGAGGAAAAGAAACUAACAAGGAUUCCCCUAGUAACGGCGAGUGAAGCGGGAUGAGCUCAAAUUUAAAAUCUGGCGGCCUCAGGUCGUCCGAGUUGUAGUCUAGAGAAUCGUUUUCCGCGUUGGCCUGUGUACAAGUCCCUUGGAACAGGGCGUCAUAGAGGGUGAGAAUCCCGUCCUUGACACAGACUACCAAUGCUUUGUGAUGCGAUCUCGAAGAGUCGAGUUGUUUGGGAAUGCAGCUCAAAAUGGGUGGUAAAUUCCAUCUAAAGCUAAAUAUUGGCGAGAGACCGAUAGCGAACAAGUACCGUGAGGGAAAGAUGAAAAGCACUUUGGAAAGAGAGUUAAACAGUACGUGAAAUUGUUAAAAGGGAAACGAUUGAAGUCAGUCAUGCUUUCCGAGACUCAGCCGAUUCUGUCGGUGUACUUCUCGGUUGGCAGGCCAGCAUCAGUUUCGAUCUGUGGAAAAGGUUGGAGGGAACGUGGCAUCCUCGGAUGUGUUAUAGCCCUUCUUCGAAUACAUAGAGCGGGACUGAGGAACGCAGCGCGCCUUUUAUUAGGUUGGCCCUCGGGUACAUACGCGCUUAGGAUGCUGGCAUAAUGGCUUUAAACGACCCGUCUUGAAACAACGGA